rnacentral:rRNA from 1 species
AUUGAACGCUGGCGGCAGGCCUAACACAUGCAAGUCGAACGAGUGGCGGACGGGUGAGUAAUGUCUGGGAAACUGCCUGAUGGAGGGGGAUAACUACUGGAAACGGUAGCUAAUACCGCAUACCAUCGGAUGUGCCCAGGUGGGAUUAGCUAGUAGGUGGGGUAAAGGCUCACCUAGGCGACGAUCCCUAGCUGGUCUGAGAGGAUGACCCGCCACACUGGAACUGAGACACGGUCCAGACUCCUACGGGAGGCAGCAGUGGGGAAUAUUGCACAAUGGGGGCAAGCCUGAUGCAGCCAUGCCGCGUGAAUGAAGAAGGCCUUCGGGUUGUAAAGUUCUUUCGGCGGGGAGGCGUUACCCACAGAAGAAGCACCGGCUAACUCCGUGCCAGCAGCCGCGGUAAUUC